rnacentral:rRNA from 1 species
GAUGAACGCUGGCGGCGUGCUUAAGACAUGCAAGUCGAACGCAAUUGCUCCGCAAGGGGCGGUUGAGUGGCGAAUGGGUGCGUAACACGUAGGUGACCUGCCCGGAAGUGGGGAAUAACAGUCCGAAAGGACUGCUAAUACCGCAUGCGGUGCACGGGUUUUGAAGCCGUGUUCCAAAGGUACUCGAAAGGGUGCCGCUUUCGGAGGGGCCUGCGGCCCAUCAGCUAGUUGGUAGGGUAACGGCCUACCAAGGCGACGACGGGUAGGGGA